AGGGUAAUAAUUACCAUAAAAGCAACAAUUUUUACUCCUGCCGUUUCAUUCUUUUGCAAAGAAUACACAAAAAACAAAAUAAAAAUAAAAAUAAAACAAAAGGGAGACUCCCUUUCUCUGCUAGGCCGACGGCCUCCCAAGACCUCCGUCGCGCCACCAACGUGGUCGGCGACCGGUGCCGGAAAGUGGUCCCGUUAGCCCCUGUUUCACGGUAUCCUUGAAAGCCAAAGCUCUCUCAACCCACGGGAGUCGAAAACAAAGGAGGUUCACGACCGCUUGGACCCGAUUCGGGCGACGGAGGAGAGAUCCUCCGACGGCGCAACCACGGCCACCCGGUGGGUUCCCCUCCCCUUUAUUUUUGCUUUUUGAUUUUUAGUUAUUUGAAAUAGAUUUGCAAAAGAAAAAAAAUAUAAAAUAAAAUAAGAUAAAACAAAUAAGUAAGAGAAAACAAAGAGGAAAUUGCAAGGAUUCAACCUUUGAAAACUCUGUUCUAUUUUGAUUUCUUGAUGUGCCUUCGUAAAAAAAAAAAUACAACGAUUAGAUCUUGGCUUUUAUAGCCCUAUUACAACUGUUCAUUCUCAUUUUUUGUUUUUUGCUCUUUAUUUCUUUGUAUUCUUCUGUUGCUUGCAUUCAUUCUUCUCUGCAGGUGUCAGACGAGGCCGACGGCUGUGGUCAGAAGCGUGCAUGAGUGAGCCUGGCAGCAUGCGGCGCUUGGAGGCUUGGGGGCAAGCAGCAGCUAGGGUUCUCUGUUGCUGAAAUUUUUUAAUUUCCUGGGCUAGGGUUUAGGUUUGUUGUGUCUAAU
rnacentral:lncRNA from 1 species